rnacentral:rRNA from 1 species
AUUGAACGCUGGCGGCAUGCUUUACACAUGCAAGUCGAACGGUAACAGGUUAAGCUGACGAGUGGCGAACGGGUGAGUAAUGCAUCGGAACGUGCCCGGUCGUGGGGGAUAACGCAGCGAAAGCUGCGCUAAUACCGCAUACGAUCUGAGGAUGAAAGCGGGGGACCGUAAGGCCUCGCGCGAUCGGAGCGGCCGAUGUCAGAUUAGGUAGUUGGUGGGGUAAAGGCUCACCAGGCCGACGAUCUGUAGCUGGUCUGAGAGGACGACCAGCGACACUGGGACGGAGACACGGCCCAGACUCCUACGGGAGGCAGCAGUGGGGAAUUUUGGACAAUGGGCGCAAGCCUGUUCCAGCAAUGCCGCGUGCAGGAAGAAGGCCUUCGGGUUGUAAACUGCUUUUGUACGGAGCGAAAAGGCUCUCUCUAAUACAGGGGGCUCAUGACGGUACCGUAAGAAUAAGCACCGGCUAACUACGUGCCAGCCGCCGCCGUAA